GAUCCUGGCUCAGGAUGAACGCUGGCGGCGCGCCUAACACAUGCAGGUCGAGGGGCAGCGGGGAGUAGCAAUACUCCGCCGGCGACCGGCGCACGGGUGCGUAACGCGUAUGCAACCUACCUUUAACAGGGGCAUAACACUGAGAAAUUGGUACUAAUUCCCCAUAACAUUCGAGAAGGCAUCUUCUUGGGUUAAAAACUCCGGUGGUUAAAGAUGGGCAUGCGUUGUAUUAGCUAGUUGGUGAGGUAACGGCU
rnacentral:rRNA from 1 species